rnacentral:other from 1 species
CGUUGCCUGCCGUGUUAGUUAGCUUCUCCUUGUUUCGAACCUUGAUUUUAAAAAGGGAGCUUUAUAUUGAACCUCAGACAGCAUGCCAGCUUGCUCUGGACGCUGGACGAGAUUCUGCGAGCACCCACCUACGAGUGUAGGUUCAUGAAACAACUGAAGCAACGGCAUACGCGGGUUACAA